GGGCCGUUAGCUCAGUUGGCUAGAGCGCCUGCUUUGCAAGCAGGAGGCCGCGAGUUCGAGUCUCGCACGGUCCACCA
rnacentral:tRNA from 2 species